rnacentral:miRNA from 1 species
AAGGUUGUUCGAACAAGUCCGAUACAGUCAUUGUAUAACAAUAUUGUUACAACCUUAUGUCGUCAACCUUGUAACAUUCUUGUUAUAUCAUGACUGUAUCAGACUUGUUAGAACAACCUU